AACGUAGGGGGCAAGCGUUGUCCGGAAUUACUGGGCGUAAAGGGCGUGCAGGCGGCCUGAUAAGUCAGAUGUGAAAGGCUUCGGCUCAACCGGAGACAUGCAUCUGAAACUGUCAGGCUCGAGGGCAGGAGAGGAGAGCGGAAUUCCCGGUGUAGCGGUGAAAUGCAUAGAUAUCGGGAGGAACACCAGUGGCGAAGGCGGCUCUCUGGCCUGAUCCUGACGCUGAGGCGCGAAAGCGUGGGGAGCAAACAGGAUUAGAUACCCCUGUAGUCC
rnacentral:rRNA from 1 species